rnacentral:lncRNA from 1 species
UUUAGGUGAAAAUUGCACAGGUUUUCAGCUCCCUGUUUUGAUUGCCUUUUGUCUCUGCAGGUCUCUCCUCCAUAGCUGCUCAUCUUCCUGUACCAUGGCUCUGGACACCACACUCUAAAGCUCCUGUCACCAGCACACCCUGCCCACAACAAAGACUGAGGACACCGAGAGAGUUACAGGGAUAUUCAACCACCACUGAGCACCCAGAAGUCUUCAGUCAUUCCCCUAAACCUACAUUUCCCUUGGAUUCCAGCAGAGGUUCCACAAAACUGACACUGCUCCAAGCAGAUAUAGUGAUCUCAUGGAGGCUGAAUUGCACUUUCAAGCAGUAAGCACUCCUUGAGCUAUCUUGCAAAACCUGAACUGAAAUAAUGAGCAACCAGGCCGCUGUCAACCUCAGCUACUCUAUAAAAGUUUGUCUUGGGCUGGGGAUUUAGCUCAGUGGUUCAGUGGCCUGCCUUGCAGCAAAAAGACCCGAGUUCAAUCACCGGUUCCAAAAAAAGCAAACAAACAAAAAAAGCUUGUCUCAUUCUUUUGUUAGUGGGCCGGCCUGAUCCUCUCCAUCAGAGUUCUCCAUCCUUUUUCAACCUGAAGUACUUUCUCAUUUUCUCUUACUUUCUAAAUAGAGCCUACAUUUCUCACUGACACAUCCUGAAAUGCUUUCUGUAUGAUGUCAAGAACCUGCCCAGGCCAAGUUGAGGUUUCCAUAUUCUCUUUAGGGGACAUCCUUGCAUCCCAUCUGCUAUAGCUUGGGUUUAGAUGUCCCCCCACCCAAGCCUCAUGCAGACAUUGGUGAGACUUUUUUCAGAUGUGGCUGCAUCUAGAAUGUGUGAUUGAUUCAUGGUGCAAUGCUUUAAAUGGAUUAAAUGUGUAAGUGCUACCCACCCUAAAUAAUCUGAAUAAAAUAUAAAAGGGGCAGAAAGAUACUGUUAACUUCCCUUUGCUUUUGCUAUGUUCCUCCACCAUGAACAGUUUCCCCUCUGCCAUGUGCUACCCUGCCUUGGAGCUAAGUGAUCAUGAACUGAAACUUCUAUAAACUAAAUAAACCUUUUCUCUUUUAACUUUAGUUGUUGGGUAUCUUGUCUCAGCAAUGAGAGAAAAAAAGUAACCAAGACGCCAUCCAAUGACAUAUUCAUACCUGAGCAGUGCACUAC